UACAGAGGGGGCAAGCGUUGUUCGGAAUUACUGGGCGUAAAGCGCACGUAGGCGGACAUUUAAGUCAGGGGUGAAAUCCCAGAGCUCAACUCUGGAACUGCCUUUGAUACUGGGUGUCUUGAGUAUGGAAGAGGUGAGUGGAAUUCCGAGUGUAGAGGUGAAAUUCGUAGAUAUUCGGAGGAACACCAGUGGCGAAGGCGGCUCACUGGUCCAUUACUGACGCUGAGGUGCGAAAGCGUGGGGAGCAAACAGG
rnacentral:rRNA from 1 species